CCACGCCGUUUUCCAUUCUUUCCUUUUAAUAGAAAGGUUGGAAAGUAAAAGAGGACUAAAACUAGUCCUCUGGGACUCACACUCAUCAAACUAAUUGGAAUUGCUUCCAUUUGACGCAUGUGUUGUGUGGUCAUUGUAUUGCUCCGGGCAAACCGGCCAAUUUGGGCGAAGAUGUUAAAGUGGUCUCUACCACUGUUAGUUGCAGUUAUGUUACAUCACGAUGAGCUGUCAAUUUAGUUGAGUUACCACUCAACGGUUCAAGUUUAAGUGAGUUGAACUUUUGAACCGGUUCAGAGAUAUACACAACUCGAGCCAGUCGCCCUUGGACAGUGAACGUGUGCGGUUGUCAGUUGUUAAUAUCGCAAACGUAGUUAAUAUAAGCAAAAUGCAGUUCGUGAAGAGCAUAUUAAUUUUAUCUCUAGGAUAUUUGACCUUAGCCGAAGUGAACAAUGACUUCGACAAUUUUUCAAUGGCCAUAAAGGAAUAUCUCGACACGUACAGCCCAGAAGUUCAGUCGCGCUUAUUAGAAACAACAGACGUUGACCCAAUGGAAUUAGCAUACCGUAUAGGUAAUGCAACAAAAAAUAUAUUGGAAAAUGCAGAAUAUAAUAACGAUGAUGAAUCCAUCAGCGCAAAGCUUAUGAAUAUGAACACAGAAAUCACGGAGAAAAUUACAAAAACAAACAUUGAUUCUGUAACAAAAGAUCCCUUCGAUGAAGAAAAUCUUAAAUUGUUAGCAUCAAAAGCAUUCAUCGAAGAUAAAUACAUUGAAAUUACAGAUAAUAAAACAACUGAAGUAAAUGAUGACGACGCAGAAAUGAGUUUGUUCUUGCAAAAUAUGAACAAUGAAAAGUCUUCGACAGGAGGUGCAUCAAAGAAAGAUGCUGCCAUUUUAGUGCCAAAAUAUAUCAUGGAACGUGGUGAUUAAAUUGUGUAAGACACCAAUUAUGUUUAUUAUAGAAAGCAUACGAACAAAGCAGAUUUUAAAAUGGACCGGAUAUUGAGUUGUGAAAAAGUUCAAAUCACAUGACAAUGGUUUAUAACAGGACAUUGAAUGUGUAACUAAACAGCCUCUAAAGUUAUUUAAAUUUUAGCGUAUUUGAAUUUGCAUUUGUAGUUUUAUAUUUAGCCGUUAUUUAAUUUUUAUAAUACAAUUGUGAUAUUUUUAGUUAAUAUAAGUUUAUACUAUGUAUUUGUGACGGAUUCUCUCAUAUUUGUAGUCACCAAGAAUAUAAAAAUCCUUGCCAAAUGUCAAACGGCGUCAAACAUUAUUUUCCAAUAUACGCCAAAAAAUAAUCAAUUUUUUCUGCAAAGUGGCAACGGGUUCUAUAUUUCUGGUCGGGCUAUUACCAUACAAACACGUAUAAAAAUAUUUUAACCAUAGACAAACUGCACAUUUUCACUACUCCCUGUGAUUUUCAAAGUAUUUCUGAACAUUUUCUCAUUAAAUGUACUAAUCAUAUAGUACUAUUAUCUCUUAAUUUUAAUUCCAUAAUGUUUAAAAA